UUUCAGUCUGCAGGCCGACGCUCUAUCCACUGAGCCAAACCGAUUUUGGCAAAAGUCAGGUUUUCUAAGCAUGCGCCAGAACACCUGGCACAUUUGUCUUUUUAUUGUUGAGUUGUAAUAGUUCCUUACAUAUCAAGAUACUAACCUUUACUACAUAGAUGAUUUGCAAGUGUUUCCUUACAUUCUGUGGGUUGUCUUUUUCACUUUUUUUUUUAUAGUGUCCUUUUAUGCAUAUAGUUUUAAUUUAUAUGGAACCCCCAAAAGACCCUGAAUAGGCACAGCAAUCUUGAGAAAGGACAAAGUGGGAGAUAUCAUAUGCCCCCAAACAACCAAUCCAAUUUUCAACUGGACUAUAAAGCUGCAAUAACUAAACAGUAUGGUAUUGAUGUAAAGAUAGAUUAAUUGAUCAGUAGAAUAAAAUAGAGCACCCAGAAAGAAUUCCUUGCUUACAAUUAAUCUACAAUGAAGGAGACAGUGAUAUGCAAUAGAGUAAAGGCAAUCUCUUUAAUAAGUGGUGAUGGGACCCUAGGCUCUUUCACUCAGUGGUUACAGCAUCAUCCCAUGGAUUGAAGGGUCAUGAGUUCGAUUCCAGUCAAGGGCAUGUACCUCAAUUGCAGGUUUGAUCCCCAACCCUGGUCAAGGCAACCAAUUGAUGUGACUUUGUCACAUUGAUAUUUCUCUCUGUCUUUUCCAUGUUCUAAAAAAGAAAUCAAUGGAAAAAAUACUAUCCAGUGAGGAUUAACAACAACAACAAACAAACAAACAAACAAAUGUGGUGAUGGGAAACUGGACAGUUAUAUGUCGAAAAAGAAGUUACCUGCCCUCUUUCUUCUACCGUGUACAAAGAUAAACUCAAAGACUUUAAACUAAGACUUGAAAUCAUAAAACUCCUACAGGGAAAAUAUAGGCAGUAAACUUUGGCAUUGCUCUUAAAAAUCUUUUUGGAUAGAUUUCCUUGGGCAUGGGAAACAGGAAAAAUUACAUAUAUAGGACUACAUUAAACUAAAAAGCUUCUGCAUAGUGAAGGUAACCUUCAACAAAGUUAAAGACAAUCUACUAUAUGGGAGAAGAUAUUCUCAAAUGAUACUUCACAUAAGGUGCUAAUAUCCAAAAUACAUAAGGAACUCAUACAACCUAACACCCAAAAAACAAUCCAAUUUAAAAAUCGUGUAGAGGACCUGAUUAGAUGUUUGUUUCUCCAAAGAGGACAUACAGAUGGCCAAUAGAUAUAUAAAAAUAUGCUUAAUAUCAUAAAUCACGAGAGAAAUGCAAAUUAAACCAUAAUGAAAUAUCACUUCAUACGUGUCAGAGUGGCUAUUA